AGUCUAUUCAGAGGAACUUGUUCUGUAAUUGAUAGUCCACGAUUAUAAUUACUUGAGUUAUAGGUUUACAUAUCGUCGUAGAUUGAAUAUUUUUAUAGAAUUUAUUAAUAUUCAAGAGUUUUUUUAAAAAAAAAUUCAGAUCAAGGUGUAGUUAAUACUUAAGAAGAAAUGAGUUACAAUAAAUUUAUUUAAAUGAAUUUAUUUAUUAAAAAAAUUUUGAAAGUGGAUUUGAAAGUAAUUUUAAAUUUAUAUAUUUAAAAUGAUUUUAGCUCUAAAAUAUGUACAUAUCGCCCGUCGCUUUCACUCUAAGGUGGAAUAAGUCGUAACAAAGUAGGGGUACCGGAAGGUGUCCCUAGAAAC
rnacentral:rRNA from 1 species